UACAGAGGUCUCAAGCGUUGUUCGGAUUCAUUGGGCGUAAAGGGUGCGUAGGCGGCGCGGUAAGUCGGGUGUGAAAUCUUGGAGCUUAACUCCGAAACUGCAUUCGAUACUGCCGUGCUUGAGGACUGGAGAGGAGACUGGAAUUUACGGUGUAGCGGUGAAAUGCGUAGAUAUCGUAAGGAAGACCAGUGGCGAAGGCGGCCCCCUGGACCGGUACUGACGCUGAGGCGCGAAAGCGUGGGGAGCAAACAGG
rnacentral:rRNA from 1 species